GACGAACGCUGGCGGCGUGCUUAACACAUGCAAGUCGAACGGUAAGGCCCUUCGGGGUACACGAGUGGCGAACGGGUGAGUAACACGUGGGUGAUCUGCCCUGCACUUCGGGAUAAGCCUGGGAAACUGGGUCUAAUACCGGAUAGGACCACUGCCUGCAUGGGUGGUGGUGGAAAGCUUUUGCGGUGUGGGAUGGGCCCGCGGCCUAUCAGCUUGUUGGUGGGGUGAUGGCCUACCAAGGCGACGACGGGUAGCCGGCCUGGGAGGGUGACCGGCCACACUGGGACUGCGAUACGGCACAGACUCCUACGGGAGGCAGCAGUGGGGGAGAUUGCACAAUGGGCGCAAGCCUGAUGCAGCGACGCCGCGUGAGGGAUGACGGCCUUCGGGUUGUAAACCUCUUUCAGCACCGACGAAGCGCAAGUGACGGUAGGUGCAGAAGAAGGACCGGCCAACUACGUGCCAGCCGCCGCAGUAA
rnacentral:rRNA from 1 species